GGUGGGAGCGGGCUCGCUCGCGAUGCAGGCAGCGCGGUUUUCAGUUGAACCGCGCCGAUGCCAUCGCGGGCAAGCCCGCUCCCACA
rnacentral:antisense_RNA from 1 species